GUAACGCGUAGUCAACCUACCCUAUGGACGGGGAUAACCUCGGGAAACUGAGAAUAAUACCCGAUAGAACAUUAUGCCUGGAAUGGUUUAUGUUUCAAAUAAUUUAUUGCCGUAGGAUGGGACUGCGGCCUAUCAGUUUGUUGGUGAGGUAAUGGCCCACCAAGACUAUUACAGGUACGGGCUCUGAGAGGAGUAGCCCGGAGAUGGGUACUGAGACACGGACCCAGGCCCUAUGGGGCGCAGCAGGCGAGAAAACUUUGCAAUGUGCGAAAGCACGACAAGGUUAAUCCGAGUGGUUUCUGCUAAAGGAACCUUUUGUCAGUCCUAGAAACACUGAUGAAUAAGGGGUGGGCAAGUUCUGGUGU
rnacentral:rRNA from 1 species